AAAUGAAGAUUUUGUGACUGAGUGGCGGACGGGUGAGUAACGCGUGGGUAACCUGCCUCAUACAGGGGGAUAACAGUUGGAAACGACUGCUAAUACCGCAUGAUGCAUAGGGGUCGCAUGAUUCUUAUGCCAAAGAUUUAUCGCUUCAAGAUGGCCUCGCGUCUGAUUAGCUAGUUGGUGAGGUAACGGCCCACCAAGGCGACGAUCAGUAGCCGGACUGAGAGGUUGACCGGCCACACUGGUACUGAGACACGGACCAAACUCC
rnacentral:rRNA from 1 species